CAUUGCAAAGCUAACCUAGCAUUAACCUUUUAAGUUAAAGACUAAGAGAACCAGCCUCUCUUUGCAAUGA